ACUGUAUACCUGACUAACAGUGGCCUGAACAAAUAACGACAUAAUUUUCUCACCUUAUGAGAAGGCUGGAGCUGGUACAUGACACACGAUGUGCUUCUUCUCCUGCCAUCUGGUUGGCAACAUUCAGAUGAAAGCUACUCCAUCAUCUUGAAUCCUGGAGUGAAGAUGAGAUGGGGAAGAACUAAGCUGACCUUUGAUGAACAGACGGCAUGAGCGUAAAAUGAACCUUUAUUGUAAGUCAGUGAGGCUGGCGGGGGCAUGUUAAUGACUGUGGCAUGCCCUUGACUGAUUAUAUUCUUCACUGACAUGCUGCCUAGCAUGCAGAGGCCAUGCGACCCUUGGGGAGGCUCCUACUUGCCUUGGAAAAGCAGCUCCUCCUCUUCUCAAAUGUAAUAAUGGAAACCUUACAUGGGUGGAUCCAGGGGUAAAGCUCUUUGUGGUGUAUAGCAACAGAAUGUUAAGUCAAAGUGGUUGUCAACAAAGUUUAUCGAACAGCAGCUAUAUUUUUUAUAAUGAACACUGGUUUGCCUGGAACCUUGAAGUAACCAUGAAUUUUUCCUAGACCCUAAUACUAUCAGAAAGAAGCAAAUCACCCAACAAUAAGAUCAGUAACUAAAACCAACAAAUCCCAAAGGCAUCUCACAGUGCUGGCAUAUGUUUUUGCCAUAGCUCAUGCUCAUAAACUGCAAUGAGCCAACCCUGGCAUCAUGAAGGACCCCGAUUUUAAAAAUGGGUAAAGAAGUUUUGAAAGCCUGGGCAACAUAGUGAGACCAUUCUCUUUAAAAAAAAAAAAUUAGCCAGGCAUGGUUGGUCAUGCAUCUGUAGUUCCAGCUACUUGGGAGACUGAGGCAGGAGGAUUACUUGAGCCCAGGAAGUCAAGAUUGCAGUCAGCCAUGAUUGCACCACUGCACUCCAGCCUGGGCAAUAGAGUGAGA
rnacentral:lncRNA from 1 species